AGAUAAGACAAAGACAGAAACUAAUGCAUUCAGAAACUGAAAUGCUGACUGCUUGAGGGGCAGAUGGGAUGAAGGUUUUUGGCCUCGGUUGAGGUCUACUCGUUUACUGAACGCACUUUGCUUUAAUCUGAGAAAAAAAAAUACACUUCUGGGACAAUUCUGUGCCAUUUUGACUGCAAAUGUUCAUUUGUUACAUAAAAUAUCGAUAUAUCAUGUUAAAUCGUAUGAUGGAAUUAAUUUAACAGCGGGUGGUUAAAUGCGAGCGCUCACGACUCUCCUCCGUAACUCUAUUUCAAAUCUAAUCAUGUCAACAAGUCAAGCGCUGUGAUGUCAACGGAUCCCCGGAGGAAGCAAAGAGCGGCGGCGUGAUGUUUUGUAGGUGAUAGAUGUUCUCAUGUGAAUUUUGUCAGCCACACACUGAUGGCUUGAACAGACGCGGGAAGUGGAAACCGGCGGGGGGGAGAAAUUAAAGGAUUCAAAAUAAAGAAAUAAAUAGAAAAGCAAAACGCUUUCAGGCGUUUCGACAAACAGCAUAUGUUCCACUUAGGUGGCUAUGCCACCUUGGACUGUUGAGUGCCAACAAAAGCCGGAAGACUUUGACAAGAUCCUGUCAGGCAUCGUCGUGGGAGAGGCUCCGUGUCCUCUGGGUGGCUUACUAUGACUAAACAUAUCAGUAUGUCGCACUUUUCAUUUUCCAGGUAAAUGUUUUACGGAAUAUAGCGGAUGUAAUUUAGCUUUGUGCUAUUUAUUCAACCCGCUUUGCUCUGAUCAAGAUGAAUGAGAAAAGGCAAAGUGGUACAAACUCAAUUUCGUCGUGACUCCGCAAACAUCAACAGAUCACGUAGCGCCAGCUAGCAACAUGUUUCUGGCAGCAAAAAUUGUACAUCUGCCUUUGCUUGUGGAUGUGUGAAAGGAAUUCAGAAA